rnacentral:lncRNA from 1 species
CACAAGGGGAACACCCUCUCACAGUAAUUUUUAAAUGGACCGUGUUACCCACAUUCAUAUAAGAAUACGUAAACAGACUUAAAGAGAUUAAGAAACUGGCCUAUGGUCUUGAAGCUAGUUAAUGAAAAUGCUAUAUAUAAUUAUCCUCUCCCACCCCAAAUCUAGUCCUAUUAUUUCCUCUCCAUUCUUUCAUCUUGCUCCUCUGAGCCUAAAACCUAGAACUCAUUCUUGAUUUGCACCCCCUCUAUGAAGGUAAUUACUCACCAAGGUGUAGCUUUUCAUGCUACCUUCUAAACGUCUCCUCUUCUCAAAAUAUCUCUGAAAUCUUUCCCAACUUCUUCUUCGACCACUGCAUCAAUUUAAAGACCAUUAAAAUUAUACGGACUUCUGAAUUAGACCAUAUAAUAUUCUGCCUCGAUUAUUUCAAAAAACUUUCUCUUGCCUUCCCUUUAAUCUGCUCUCCAUGUUAUAUCAGAGCCAUCUUGCCAAAUCCAAAUUUUAUCAUGCACUCCUUCCCUAAAGCCCCUGAGUAGCUCUAUAUUGCUUUCAAGAGAAAUUCCUAGGAAUUGCUUUCAAGAGAAAUUCCUGGGUAUUCAGGCACAACCUUCAGUCUUGCAUAUUAGGAAUUAUAUGAGGGCUUUGUGAUAUUAUUUGUACCCACAUACUGAGUGUCCCUUUUUGUCUUUCCAAACUCAUAUACUAUACCAAAACCUUACCAAAUUAUUUUUCCCCAGUUGUCCAUUUUCUUAUGCAUCUAUAUUUUGGGGGAAUGCCUUCAAUCCCUUUGUUCUAGUCCACCUUCUUCACCUGGUCCUGUGUUCUAUAUCAGUUAAGCCAUCACUUCCUCUACCAGCUAUCCUUUCAUGUCUUUCCAUGACCCACCAUUCUUCUCCCCACCUGGGUAUAAGUUUCAUAAUGUAUUAUAAUUGUCCAUUUACAAAUCUGUCUUCCUAGCUCAUACUGAAAACUGCUUGAGGCAAAAUAGCAGGUUUUUGUUCUGUUGAUUCUCUCAUUUUAUCCCAAUUAAAAUUUCACAUUAGGAGUGCCUAAGGAAUUUAUUGUACUCCUCUUGCAAGUGCUACAGCUUAAUGCAACAUCUGCCAGUGUCAUUGGAGGGAUAAAAGCAUAAGCAAAUGAAAAACAAAAUUAAUGAUUCAAACCAUAACUGAAAACUAUCUUCAAAAGUAAUCUUGAAUUUUCAAAAAUGAGAAAGAGUUUGAUGGGGUGAUUGAUCCAAUAUUAGAACCAGUAAAAAUAAUUACAAACAGACUGGUACGAGAAUUUGCAUAUCUUUCUGGGUUGCGAUCUAGUGGCGAAGGGAGCCAGAUGAGGUAUUGGUUCAUGUUGCAGGCAUGACUGCCCAGCAGGUGCUUGCUAUAUAGGCAAGAGGUAGAGGGCAAGAUAAGAUUAGGGAAGGACAUGCACCAUGAUAGGAGAGUCUGAUCUAGUUUUAAAUUCUUCCUUCUUUUGGAAAACAAGGACUGGCGAGUAAGUGCUGGAAACUAGAGAGUAAGAAGUAUCAUAACACUCAGCUCAGUUUUAACAGCUGUUUAAAUAAGAUUGGAUUUAAUACAGUAGAUCUCAAAAAAUUGGUGUAUAUGAGAAUAACCAGGAAUGUUUGAUAAUCAGGACACUCAAGAUGGCUGUUCUUCUGCUCUCAGUACAUCCCCUGUUCAACCAGUCCCUGCCUUACCUACACCCUGACUAAACAUCCCUCUUAAUCAUAGACCCUACCCAGUUAAAUGCCUACAUACUUGCUCCUGGCCCUAGUUAGUGAUUAUUCUAAUCUUCAGAUCAGAACCUACCAAAAUAACUUAUCAAAGGGCAGGGAGGAAUGUGCUCCUCUGCUGUUUGCCUUGGUAACUGAUGAAUCAUCCUGACAUCAUUUGGUAACCACUGUCUCCAUCUGUCUGUCUCCACACUGUCCCAUCCCCACUGCCAGCAAAGACUACUGACAUGGCCUGCCCUAUUUUCUGCCACACAUGAGCCAGGUGUUACUCCAGGACUUUGCUUCAGACAUGUAAAGUCCCCCAUCAUUAAACCAUUGAUGUCUCCAUCACUGACUCUGGGCUUUUUUUUUUUUUUUUUGUCUUGAGGCUGGGCACAAAUAGGGCUUGCAGGCCUAUGGGGUGCGGAACAGCAGUGCUUAACUCAGUACUUAUAAUGCCUUAACUCAGUACUCUUUUAAGAAACUCAUUGUUAAUCAUAUUGUUGUUACAAUUAUCUUCAUCAUUAUUGUCAACAUAACUCUUAUGGUUUUCCCAAUUUACAUUUGUACCUUUUUCUUCCCACCCCACUGAUUACGUAAAAUUUUAAUCCUUUCUAAAUACAGACUUUGUUUUAAUCCCUUCUAAGAAGUUAUUUAAAAUUUAUCUACUCUUAUCCUGAUGACUGGGAGGGUCACUAGUUCCCUAAUGAUAUUAUUCUGUUUUUAUGUACUCUUUUAGAUAUAUAAGAAUAGUAGACUAUCUUCAAUGUAGUGGCUGACAUUUUCUGAUUCAGACUUAAAGUUCUCCUCUAGAUACUUUUGAAAUAGGGUUAUAAAGCUCUUAAAUGUUUCAUGGUCCUUCAGCUGAUCAAUUUCCUCUCCCUGCCCUGCCUUGGAUUCUAACUUCAAAAUUGUUCAGUGUUUUUUUGUGAAUCUUCUGUUUUGUAAAAAAAAUUUAAAUUUUUUUUUUUUUUUUUUUUUUUUUUUGCUUUUUAGGGCCACACUUACAGCAUAUGGAAGUUUCCAGGCCAGGGGUUGAGUUGGAGUUACAGUUACUGGCCUAUGGACAGCAACAGGGGAUUCGAGCUGCAUCUGUGACCUAUACCAUAGCUCACAGAAACACUGGAUCCUUAAUUCACUGAGUGAGGCCAGGGAUCAAACCAGCAUCCUCAUGGUUACUAGUCUGAUUCAUUUCCAAAGAGCCAUGACGGGAACUCCUGCACCUUCUAAUAAUGUCAUCUAUUCCUUGUCACUACAUCAUCUAAUUUUUCUUCUUUGAAGUUUGAAUUACUCUUCUUUAAAAUUCUGGGGAAUUAUGCUAUCAAAUAUGUCAGUUUCUCCGGACAACACUGGAAUGAGGAGUCAAGCUUUUUAGUUGCCUUCUUACUGUCCAUGUCCUUUAGCCAAAGACCACCAGGAAGUCAUCUGUGGUUGAAAAGUUGAGUUCAUUAUUUAUUACAACGAGGGAGGUAUGUGGCAUAGGGAACCAAGAGUGACUUGUUCAGUAAGUGUUAAAAAGAAUCUCUUAGAGAAUUUGAACUUUGGUUGAGUGAUUUGAGGAGAAGGUUUAAGAAAGUAGAACUUGUCCUGAACUGAAUGUUGUCAGGAAGUAGGAUAAUAUUACAAUUUAGAGUAGCCCAUGUUAGCUGGAAAAGAGGGGCAUGUGGUAUCUGUGGCCUAGACAACACUCAUAAUUGGUCUGUUUUCAGACACAAUUACAGAGACUCUUAUUUUUAUCUUGAUUCCUUGUUAUCAUAGAGUGCCCUGGUCUAGAGCUGAUGUUCUAUGAAAUUGUUUAUGCUCAACAAGAGGAUACCAAGGCCAGGCCGUGAGGGCCAGGCCGUGAGUGCCAGGCCAGUGUUCAGAGAAAACAAGGCCUAAACAGAUAGCACUCAGCCAGGUCCUGGAUAUCAGGGGAUGUUUCCUCUUUCUCAUGAUAAAAUUCUUUGUUUCUUCAGUAAUUAAACCUACUUCCAUGAAAUCCUCUUUGCAUAAUUUUGGUGAUAAAAUCCUAAUAGAGUUUCUUUGUAAUUUCCUCCCUAAGGCCUGUGCUAUGUUCAACACAUGGAGUAUUUUAACACAAGAUUUCACUCCUCUUACGUUAGCAAUAUGAUGAUCAAUAAGAAUCACACAAGGAAGAGAUUAAUCUAUAGUAACUAUAAUGCGCAUAAAUUGUUUAGGAAAUUUAUUAGCUUCUUUUUACUUAUGUGAUUAUGAUAGACUAUUAUUAACAUAAGUCUUGCUUAAAGAAAAGAACAUCUAGUAAAUGAUUCAAGUUCAUGAUUGAAUAACGUUCAACAUUUAAGUAACAUGUGGACUUAAAAUGAGUAGAAAUAUUGACAAAUGUCCUAUGCUAAUCAUUUUCUUUGUAGGUUAUUAUAAGUCUGUAGAAAUGUUCCAGGGUGGGGCUCUGGGAAAAGGCAGAGAUGUAAUAAGGCUGUAUAAAUUAUGCUCAAUUCUGAAAGUCACACAUGAUAAAAAUUAUCUUUCUAUAAUGUACUAUUUAAGAUAUUUGAAAUAUUGUUAAAUAUACCACUUUCUUCAACUUACACAUGUAUGCCUUUUUUUUUUGGUCUUUCUCUCUUUUUAGGGCCACACCUGUGGCAUACAGAGGUUCCCAAGCUAGGGGUCCAAUCGGAGCUAUAACUGCCAGCCUAUACCAAGGCCAUAGCAACGCGGGAUCCGAGCCAUGUCUGCGACCUACACCAUGGCUCACAGCAAUGCCGGAUCCUUAACCCACUGAGCAAGGCCAGGGAUCGAACCUGCGUCCUCAUGGAUGCCAGUCAGGUUCAUUAACCACUGAGCCACGAUGGGAACUCCAUACAUAUGUGCUUUUUAAACAACAGCCAUAUAAUAAAGUCAAGGUUUCUGUCCUACACAUAAGAUUAACCUUUUUCAUCUUUUUUUGAUUGGUUUUAAAAUAGAAUAAUGGCAAUACAAAAGAAAGAGUUAUUUAUUUUCCAACUCUGUUUUAUUUAUCCUAUUGUCUUGUUAAUAACAGAAGCUGUUUUGAUUGAACUUCAUAGAGUUUUCCUGUUAGUUACCUUUGAAGAAAUGCUCUAAAUAAAGACGCUAAUUUUUAACUUUCUUCAUAAUGUUUACCCUUUUGCAUGAUCCUUAUUUCAUCUUUCCUAUUUUCAAGCAAAAUUUGUAGCUAUAUUUUAUGUGAGACAGAAAUAAUAAUUUACUGAACAGGAAAAUGAAAUUGAGAAUGUGAAGUUCCAGUUAAACAUUUUAACUUUUAAUUAGACAAGGCUUAAAUCUUUUCAAAGAUUACAGAUGCCCAUCACAGGCCUAGAUUUGGUUUAAUUCAAGCCUCUUAGAACCACUUUGGAUUCUUAAAUAUGAAUGGUUCAAUAAUUAAAUUAUAGUAGAAUCCUAGUAACAGGUUUAGUUCUUUGUUAACACUAAUAAAAGGGGAAUAAUAUCAAUCAAUAUCCAUUGGUUACUUGGAAAAUUAAUAUUUUCGGGAGUUGGUUCUUCUGUUUUAUGCAGGGCUUAAAUUUGCAUAAUGUCCUUUUGGAUUGUUUCUUCUUUAAUAUUAUUGUCUGGAGGUUGGCUGCAGAUGAACAUUUAUUACUGUUCUUUGUGUUGGUAAAAGGGAGUAUUUUGUGUGCCUAUUUGAAUAGCUUGAAUCUAUUUGAAAAUGAAAAUAAAAGAGGGUUAGAGUCAAUCAGUUUUCUUACCAAAAUAUUUCUGCAGUUGGUGUGUUUUUGCACUCUCGUUACACAUUACAGAUACCCUUAAAAGAGCUCUUGUGUGACUUAAUACCCAAAUAAAACGGCAGCUUUCUCUUUUUUUGCUUACAUCUAAUCCUUGUUUCUCCAGAGCAUGUCAGCCUUGGGGGCAAACAAUAGUAAAGGUUUUAAAGUACUCAGAACAUUUGUUUCCCACUGGCUUUAGGCUUAGAUUCUCUUCUCUCUUUAUCCUAUACUUCCUUAAACUGCCCCAAUGCAUUUAUAUUUAACGUACUUACUGGCCAAACAAUUUAAAUUAUAAACAUGUUCAACAGAAAGCAGCUUCAUAUAAUCACUUUCUUCAUUGCCUCUUCCUGACAAGGUCCAAUUACUGACCAGACUAAGGAAAUCAAAUGAUUGAUGUAUCCUGCUUAUUGCUCCAUGGCCAUUUGUAGCAGAGCCCUCCAUCUCUCGACCUUUGUUCCCCUCCUUUAUCCCCGUUCAUAUUUCUCUCAACUCCCAUGAUGCUGAGUGCUGCCCUGAUUCCACAAAUCCCAGCCUGGAAUGUGAAGUGGAGAAAAUGAGAAAUGAGAAGAUUAAAUACUUCCUAAUAUCAAUGAAGUAUGUGAGUGCCAUUGUUAUCUGCUCUGCUGUUUGCAAAGCAAAUACUAUGUUUGUCGCUUCACCCAGAGCCAAUAUAAAACAGGUGCUGUGUUCCUCAGUUCCUUUGGCCUUUAGCAUUUUGACUCUCCUUUUCCUGGGACUGCUACUUCAGUUCUUAGCCAGUUUCUAUUACUUCCCCUCUUUCUACCCUGUGUCAUGCUCUAAAGCACCAUCACAAACACACACAAAAACCCACAGAAACAAACAAACAAAAAUAAGGCCUGGCAAGUGUAUUUCUCUCACUCUUGAUGAUGGCUGUUAGGACUUUCUUUGCAGUUUUACAGACUUCUUUGCCAUGGCUGCCACCUCGAACUCAACCCAUGUAUCAACUAAUCCAAACUCUAUUUAAAAUGAGUCCACCUGCUCUUCGUUUGACUGCAUACAAGUCUUAAUUCAGAUCCUAUGUGUUUCCAGUGUUAUUUUAUUACUCUUGUAUGUGGAAUCUCAUUCCAACUUACUGCUUUUAGUAAUGAAUGCUCUGGGAGUUCCCAUUGUGGCUUAGUAGGUUACAAAUCUGACUAGUAUACAUGAAGAUGCAGGUGUGAUCCCUGGCCCCUCUCAGUGGGUUAAGGAUCCUGCAUUGCAGCAAGCUGCAGUGUAGGUCACAGAUAAGGCUUGGAUUUUGUGUUGCUGUGGCUGUGGCACAGGCCAGCAGCUGCAGCUAUUAUUCAACCCCUGACUCAUAACUUCCAUAUGCCACAUGUGUAGCCCUAAAAAGGAAAAAAUAAAAUAAAAAUUUAAAAAAAUUAUAAGUGAACACUCUGGAGUUCCCAUUGUCUCUCCACAAGUUAAGAACCCAAGAUAGUGUCUGUGAGGAUGUGGGUUCAAUCCUUGGCCUUGCUCAGUAGGUUAGGGAUCAGGCAUUGACAUAAGUUGUGAUGUAGGCUGGGAGCUGCAGAUUUGACUCAAACCUUAGUCUGGAAAUUUCAAUGUGCCCAAACAUGGCCCUAAAACAAAAGAAAGAAAGAAAAAAAAAA